rnacentral:rRNA from 1 species
GAUGAACGCUAGCUACAGGCUUAACACAUGCAAGUCGAGGGGUAACGAGAGGAAAGCUUGCUUUCCUUGUCGACGACCGGCGCACGGGUGAGUAACGCGUAUCCAACCUGCCCCCAACUAGGGAAUAACCUUGCGAAAGUAAGACUAAUACCCUAUAAUUUCCUCAGAUGUCAUCUGACGAGGAAUAAAGAUUUAUCGGUUAUGGAUGGGGAUGCGUCUGAUUAGCUUGUUGGCGGGGUAACGGCCCACCAAGGCAACGAUCAGUAGGGGUUCUGAGAGGAAGGUCCCCCACAUUGGGACUGAGACACGGUCUAAACUCCUACGGGAGGCAGCAGUGAGGAAUAUUGGUCAAUGGGCGAAAGCCUGAACCAGCCAAGUAGCGUGCAGGAUGACGGCCCUAUGGGUUGUAAACUGCUUUUAUACAGGAAUAAAGUUAGCCACGUGUGGUUAUUUGUAGGUACUGUAUGAAUAAGGACCGGCUAAUUCCGUGCCAGCAGCCGCCGUAA